GUGCUCACUUGGGCAGCACAAAUACUAAAGUUGGAUACAGAGAAGAUUAGCGUGGCACUUGAGUGAGGAUGACAUGCAAAUUCGUGAAGUGUUUCAUAUUUUU